UCCUCCGCAACAAGGCCACCAUUGGAUCCCCUCCUCUCCUCCGCUCCGCCCUCUCCAGUAGCUCUCCAUCGCCCUCGCGCCCCAGAUCCAAACCACCAGCAGUUCGAGGCGAAACCCUCGUGCUCAUCACCUCCAUCUCCACCACGGAGGGAAGGCGAAGCCGCUCAAGCAGGCCAAGGUCGCCGAGAAGGACUACAACGAGAUGCACGCUGAUGAUUUCCGGCAAGACCUGUAUGGUUUAGUCACAGCACUAAAAAAUGGUGGUUACUCAGAUGAUAUGACCCUUGCUGCAAUCGCUGGUCAACUUGAUCAAUCUUGACACCAACAUCAGGAAUCAUUCGAGCGGAAGUGUCACCAGCCCUUCGCCACUGCGAGAAUAUACAUUGUGCACACUCCUUUACAGUAGCUCGAGGCGUACUAAAUAGAAUGUAAAGAUUGUAAUAUUGUAAUGGUAGGCAUAUCUGGGUUGGAUUAAACAUGUACAGCUUGUAGUAGACUUUUUUACCAUUCUUGUUCUGUUUAAAAUAUUGAUUAUGUGAUUUGGAAACGUGUGAAUUGGAACUUGGCUGAUGGGACACAUUUAUGAAACUAAUUUGAGCAGUUUUAAAAUUUC